AAUACAAAUUGGGACAAAGUGAAGAUCACACAAGGCUUGUCUAUCUGAUUAUUUCCAGGGGCCAUUGAUGAGAUGUGGGCAGCACAGCAGCGACACCUGGAGUGCAUUCAGACAUGAGCAUGUAUAGGGUGGCCCAUACCACAACAAUAAACAACGUGGAUGUCCCCUAUUACAAAUGUCUGCGUGGAAGCAAUAGCCUGGAAGGGUUCCACAAAUUACUUCCUAACAUGAUUCCAGGUCCCCACUGCGCAGCACGUCCCUAUCAGGUUUACCUGAUAAGUGGUAUUGCAAGGUGGAACUCUGACAGGAGCUCAGAUGCUGUAUUUGGUGGCAAAGGACGGCAUCACAGGAUUUACUCUGCACCGUUGAUCGAUCGCCUCAACACUCGCUGCUAGCAGCUGUUUGGAGAACCUGUAGAAGUAAACUUCCGUGGCCCAGCUGAUCUCACAUCAAAUGAAUUGCUCAGGUUGGAGUACUUGUUCAGUCAAAGCACUGGAGAGUCUGGAACUUUCUCUCUGGAGGGCAUCGUCAGUGAUGGACCUGGUCCUGAGGAGGAGGUGGUUCAGCCUGGGCAACCCGAACCAGAUGAUCGCGUUACACAUACCAGAGUGACGAAGAGGCAUGCGACACUGUAUUGGAUACUGUCCUUCCCCACAUUACACUGACCAAUGAUGAGACCUCCACAGUUCACCCUCCAGCCUUUGAAGAUGCUUGCAGUUCAAACCCCCUUCCUGGAUUUGAAAAGCUGGAAAUGUUCUGCUCUGUGCUUGUGGAGAUUAGCCUGAUAGAGGACAAGCUAUCACUUACCACUGAGCAGAGGAACAAGGUCCUCCAAACCUGGAAUAGCGUGGAGGAGCAUGACAAGCAGCCACAAAAGUUUAACCAGCUGUACAAGACCUACUGGGGCAACACCCUCUACUGCCGCACUAAAAGGGAUGACCUUGUUGAUGCUGCUCUUAUACAGAGAGUAAAGAUGGCGAAGCGCUAUGCACCUGCACAACAUGACAUCAGCGCUCAGAGCAACAGGCUAAUGUACACUCUGGUUAAACUUUUGUGGUUGCGCUCACCUCAGGGGUCUCGCAACAGUCCAGAGAAUCUGUCUAUUUUAAAGGCCUACGAGCGAAUACAGCACCGGAUUCUGGUGGAAGAUGCGGUUCUCUGUAAAGCAGGCAUUCCUCUCCCUAAAAUUAACAUCAAGACUGUGCGGGACUUCAUUUGUCAGCAAGAAAGGAUCCUCAAUCUGCAUGCAACAAAACAUCCAUCGAUUUUGACCAAGAUCACCUCCAUCUCAUCUGCACACCUACCUCCAGCACCACACCAACCAGCAGUACUCCCUCCUCCAGACUACCCCCUGUUGAAAUAUGAGCCCACGCCCAGCACUGCAGGGACCAAGGUUUUGAAGGGAAGGAGAGACUUGCUGAUGCCAGUCUCCCA
ensembl:lncRNA